AGGAAAUAGGGGAGUUUACAUUUCUUUUUUUAGUUUUCUAAGAUUUCCACAGUACUCCAACAACUACUAACAGAGAGAUGAACGUUCAGAAUUUGGAAAUGAAUGCUCAUAACUUCAAAGGGAAGGAAGAGAUUGUUAAUCGGAAGGGGAAGUCAGUCUUCUUACAACUUACUAUCAAAUUAAUCCUGACGUGGUCUCGAAACAUAACGCUUGCUGAA
rnacentral:misc_RNA from 1 species